UACGUAGGGGGCAAGCGUUGUCCGGAAUUACUGGGCGUAAAGCGCGCGUAGGCGGCUUUGUAAGUUAGAGGUGAAAGCCCGGAGCUCAACUCCGGAAUUGCCUUUAAGACUGCAUCGCUAGAAUCAUGGAGAGGUGAGUGGAAUUCCGAGUGUAGAGGUGAAAUUCGUAGAUAUUCGGAAGAACACCAGUGGCGAAGGCGACUCACUGGACAUGUAUUGACGCUGAGGUGCGAAAGCGUGGGGAGCAAACAGG
rnacentral:rRNA from 1 species